UACGUAGGAGACUAGCGUUGUCUGGAAUUACUGGGUGUAAAGCGCGUGUAGGCGGCAUACCAAGUCUGUUGUGAAAUCGCCCGGCUCAACUGGGCGGGGUCAAUGGAAACUGGUAAGCUGGAGGACGGUAGAGGCGAGUGGAAUUCCCGGUGUAGUGGUGAAAUGCGUAGAGAUCGGGAGGAACACCUGUGGCGAAGGCGGCUCGCUGGGCCGAUCCUGACGCUGAGGCACGAAGGCCAGGGGAGCAAACGGG
rnacentral:rRNA from 1 species